rnacentral:lncRNA from 1 species
ACUCCACUUCUCGAGUUUCUCCCUGAAAAGAAUCGUAGUAAUUUUCCAGAGGGGCUGCGAGGAUUAGAGGAAAUCAUACCAGGGAAACACUGACAGAGGGCCUGGUACGCAGCAGGUGCUCCAUGAAUGCUGAGUGUUAGGCUUUUUAUCACCAUCACUGACAGAGGGCCUGGUACACAGCAGGUGCUCCAUGAAUGCUGAGUGUUAGGCUUUUUAUCACCAUCACUGACAGAGGGCCUGGUACACAGCAGGUGCUCCAUGAAUGCUGAGUGUUAGGCUUUUUAUCACCAUCACUGACAGAGGGCCUGGUACACAGCAGGUGCUCCAUGAAUGCUGAGUGUUAGGCUUUUUAUCACCAUCACUGACAGAGGGCCUGGUACACAGCAGGUGCUCCAUGAAUGCUGAGUGUUAGGCUUUUUAUCACCAUCACUGACAGAGGGCCCGGUACACAGCAGGUGCUCCAUGAAUGCUGAGUGUUAGGCUUUUUAUCACCAUCAUCCCCACGAGCAUCGUCCGGGUUUUUAGUCCCAUCCUUCCCAGCUCAGAAUUACUAGUUUCUAGUUAACUUUCAAAUAAAAAUUCUAGUCUCAUCGCCUCUACCAUCAGGGCCCUGCCAGCUACAUCCUCUCAGGUGGACAACCUCACUUCUCAUUUCUCCUUGAUAUGAAUGCUGCGCUACAGGGCAGCUUCAUCCACUGUCUGACUCCAUCUGCCAUUCUCCCCUCCUACUCUAGCUGUUUAAACAUCUCAUUCUGCUCCUUUUUAUUUCAUGCCCCCUGCCCUUGAUUUUACUUUUAAACAUUUAAAUUCAUUGUUAUAUUUUCUGAAAUAUGUUAGACCUCUCUAACGAGCAAGAUUUGAAACUAACACUUUCAUAUGUUUAUUAUCUUCGAAAAACAUCUUGAUUGAGAUCUAACAUGAAGUAUGUGGCUCAGUGAGUUGUUCCAUGUGGAUACACCUGUGAACUCACCAGUGGGAUCAAGAUAAAGAACAGUGCCAGUGGCCCAGAAGGUUCCCUGAGGCCUGUGCCAGUCAGUACCUCCCAGAGGAAACCACUGUUGUGACUUGUCACUAUUGAUUGGCUUUUCCUGUUCUUUCUUGAACCUUUGCAUUUGGCUUCUUUCACUCAAUACAAUGUCUUUGAAAUUCUUCCAUUAGGUGCUCACAGCAAGAGUUGGUUUGGAGCUUCCAUCGUGGCUCAGUGGUUAACGAAUCCAACUAGGAACCAUGAGGUUGUGGGUUCGAUCUCUGGCCUUGCUCAGUGGGUUAAGGAUCUGGCAUUGCCGUGAGCUGUGGUGUAGGUCACAGAUGCUGCUUGGAUCUGGCAUGGCUGUGGCUGUGGCUGUGGUGUAGGAUGGCAGCUAUAACUCCAAUUAGACCCCUAGUCUGGGAACCCCCAUAGGCCGCAG